rnacentral:tRNA from 1 species
GGCGACGUACCCAAGUGGCCUAAGGGAGGAGUCUGCAAAACUCCGAUUCAGCGGUUCAAAUCCGCUCGUCGCCUCCA